GUGGGGAAUAUUGGGCAAUGGGGGGAACCCUGACCCAGCGACGCCGCGUGGGUGAAGAAAUCCUUCGGGAUGUAAAGCCCUGUUGUAUGGGAAGAGCGGAAGACGGUACCAUACGAGGAAGCCCCGGCAAACUACGUGCCAGCAGCCGCGGUAAUACGUAGGGGGCAAGCGUUGUCCGGAAUUACUGGGAGUAAAGCGCACGCAGGCUGAAUUAUAAGUCGGUAGUAAAAGGCGGGGGCUCAACUUCCGUAUAUCUAUCGAUACUGUAAAUCUAGAGUAUGUGAGAGGGAAGCGGAAUUCCCGGUGUAGCGGUGAAAGGCGUAGAUAUCGGGAGGAACACCAGUGACGAAGGCGGCUUCCUGGCACAAUACUGACGCUCAUGUGCGAAAGCUAGGGCAGCGAACGGGAUUAGAUACCCGAGUAGUCC
rnacentral:rRNA from 1 species